CCGGAGGUGGCAGAGUAGUCAAUUGCACCAGACUGUAAAUCUGGCGGGUUUUCCCUUCGGAGGUGCGAAUCCUCCCCUCCGGA
rfam:Candidatus Daviesbacteria bacterium RIFCSPHIGHO2_12_FTLL_37_11 rifcsphigho2_12_scaffold_12368, whole genome shotgun sequence.